rnacentral:rRNA from 1 species
UACAGAGGUCUCAAGCGUUGUUCGGAUUCAUUGGGCGUAAAGGGUGCGUAGGCGGCGCGGUAAGUCGGAUGUGAAAUCUCGGAGCUUAACUCCGAAACUGCAUUCGAUACUGCCGUGCUUGAGGACUGGAGAGGAGACUGGAAUUUACGGUGUAGCGGUGAAAUGCGUAGAUAUCGUAAGGAAGACCAGUGGCGAAGGCGGGUCUCCUGGACAGUUCCUGACGCUGGAGGCACGAAGGCCAGGGGAGCAAACGGG